AAAAGCAGCUAGCUCUCUGCAACUCUCACAUGGUCACCCACUGAAGCUAAGCAGGGCUGCGUCCAGUCAGUACCUAGAUGGAAGACCAUAUGGGAAAGCUAGGUUGCUGCAGAAA
rnacentral:rRNA from 1 species